rnacentral:tRNA from 1 species
GGGCCUGUAGCUCAGUUGGCAGAGCAUCGGACUUUUAAUCCGCGGGUCGCGGGUUCGAGCCCCGCCGGGCCCACCC